AUUGAACGCUGGCGGAAGGCCUAACACAUGCAAGUCGAACGAGUGGCGGACGGGUGAGUAAUGUCUGGGAAACUGCCUGAUGGAGGGGGAUAACUACUGGAAACGGUAGCUAAUACCGCAUACCCUCGGAUGUGCCCCGAUGGGAUGAGCUAGUAGGUGGGGUAAAGGCUCACCUAGGCGACGAUCCCUAGCUGGUCUGAGAGGAUGACCAGCCACCCUGGAACUGAGACACGUUCCAGACUCCUACGGGAGGCAGCAGUGGGGAAUAUUGCACAAUGGGCUCAAUCCUGAUGCAGCCAUGCCGCGUGUAUGAAGAAGGCCUUCUGGUUGUAAAGUACUUUCAGCGGGGAGGCGUUACCCGCAGAAGAAGCACCGGCUAACUCCGUGCCAGCAGCCGCGGUAAUAC
rnacentral:rRNA from 1 species